UUAAUUGAAGCCAAAAAUUGAGGCACUCUAUUGUUAAUAGAGAAAUUGAAUUAAUUAUUAUUUUCCAAUUAAA
rnacentral:tRNA from 1 species